UACGUAGGUGGCAAGCGUUGUCCGGAAUUACUGGGUGUAAAGGGCGUGUAGGCGGGAAUGUAAGUCAGAUGUGAAAUUCCGAGGCUCAACCUCGGCGCUGCAUCUGAAACUAUAUUUCUUGAGUGCUGGAGAGGAAAGCGGAAUUCCUAGUGUAGCGGUGAAAUGCGUAGAUAUUAGGAGGAACACCAGUGGCGAAGGCGGCUUUCUGGACAGUAACUGACGCUGAGGCGCGAAAGCGUGGGGAGCAAACAGGAUUAGAAACCCU
rnacentral:rRNA from 1 species